rnacentral:sRNA from 1 species
AUCCUAAACCAGAAAUGGCAUGGUAUAUAAGAAAUCCCACGCGAGUAAAAACGGCUACAGAAGUCGCAACUACUCGCGUGGGUCUGUGCAUCGAAAGGUGCAUAGGAUAGUCUCGAAAGAGAUUAUC